rnacentral:rRNA from 1 species
AGCGUACACGGUGGAUGCCCUGGCAGUCAGAGGCGAUGAAGGACGUGCUAAUCUGCGAUAAGCGUCGGUAAGGUGAUAUGAACCGUUAUAACCGGCGAUUUCCGAAUGGGGAAACCCAGUGUGUUUCGACACACUAUCAUUAACUGAAUCCAUAGGUUAAUGAGGCGAACCGGGGGAACUGAAACAUCUAAGUACCCCGAGGAAAAGAAAUCAACCGAGAUUCCCCCAGUAGCGGCGAGCGAACGGGGAGCAGCCCAGAGCCUGAAUCAGUGUGUGUGUUAGUGGAAGCGUCUGGAAAGGCGCGCGAUACAGGGUGACAGCCCCGUACACAAAAAUGCACAUGCUGUGAGCUCGAUGAGUAGGGCGGGACACGUGGUAUCCUGUCUGAAUAUGGGGGGACCAUCCUCCAAGGCUAAAUACUCCUGACUGACCGAUAGUGAACCAGUACCGUGAGGGAAAGGCGAAAAGAACCCCGGCGAGGGGAGUGAAAAAGAACCUGAAACCGUGUACGUACAAGCAGUGGGAGCACGCUUCGGCGUGUGACUGCGUACCUUUUGUAUAAUGGGUCAGCGACUUAUAUUCUGUAGCAAGGUUAACCGAAUAGGGGAGCCGAAGGGAAACCGAGUCUUAACUGGGCGUUAAGUUGCAGGGUAUAGACCCGAAACCCGGUGAUCUAGCCAUGGGCAGGUUGAAGGUUGGGUAACACUAACUGGAGGACCGAACCGACUAAUGUUGAAAAAUUAGCGGAUGACUUGUGGCUGGGGGUGAAAGGCCAAUCAAACCGGGAGAUAGCUGGUUCUCCCCGAAAGCUAUUUAGGUAGCGCCUCGUGAAUUCAUCUCCGGGGGUAGAGCACUGUUUCGGCAAGGGGGUCAUCCCGACUUACCAACCCGAUGCAAACUGCGAAUACCGGAGAAUGUUAUCACGGGAGACACACGGCGGGUGCUAACGUCCGUCGUGAAGAGGGAAACAACCCAGACCGCCAGCUAAGGUCCCAAAGUCAUGGUUAAGUGGGAAACGAUGUGGGAAGGCCCAGACAGCCAGGAUGUUGGCUUAGAAGCAGCCAUCAUUUAAAGAAAGCGUAAUAGCUCACUGGUCGAGUCGGCCUGCGCGGAAGAUGUAACGGGGCUAAACCAUGCACCGAAGCUGCGGCAGCGACACUAUGUGUUGUUGGGUAGGGGAGCGUUCUGUAAGCCUGUGAAGGUGUGCUGUGAGGCAUGCUGGAGGUAUCAGAAGUGCGAAUGCUGACAUAAGUAACGAUAAAGCGGGUGAAAAGCCCGCUCGCCGGAAGACCAAGGGUUCCUGUCCAACGUUAAUCGGGGCAGGGUGAGUCGACCCCUAAGGCGAGGCCGAAAGGCGUAGUCGAUGGGAAACAGGUUAAUAUUCCUGUACUUGGUGUUACUGCGAAGGGGGGACGGAGAAGGCUAUGUUGGCCGGGCGACGGUUGUCCCGGUUUAAGCGUGUAGGCUGGUUUUCCAGGCAAAUCCGGAAAAUCAAGGCUGAGGCGUGAUGACGAGGCACUACGGUGCUGAAGCAACAAAUGCCCUGCUUCCAGGAAAAGCCUCUAAGCAUCAGGUAACAUCAAAUCGUACCCCAAACCGACACAGGUGGUCAGGUAGAGAAUACCAAGGCGCUUGAGAGAACUCGGGUGAAGGAACUAGGCAAAAUGGUGCCGUAACUUCGGGAGAAGGCACGCUGAUAUGUAGGUGAGGUCCCUCGCGGAUGGAGCUGAAAUCAGUCGAAGAUACCAGCUGGCUGCAACUGUUUAUUAAAAACACAGCACUGUGCAAACACGAAAGUGGACGUAUACGGUGUGACGCCUGCCCGGUGCCGGAAGGUUAAUUGAUGGGGUCAGCGCAAGCGAAGCUCUUGAUCGAAGCCCCGGUAAACGGCGGCCGUAACUAUAACGGUCCUAAGGUAGCGAAAUUCCUUGUCGGGUAAGUUCCGACCUGCACGAAUGGCGUAAUGAUGGCCAGGCUGUCUCCACCCGAGACUCAGUGAAAUUGAACUCGCUGUGAAGAUGCAGUGUACCCGCGGCAAGACGGAAAGACCCCGUGAACCUUUACUAUAGCUUGACACUGAACAUUGAGCCUUGAUGUGUAGGAUAGGUGGGAGGCUUUGAAGUGUGGACGCCAGUCUGCAUGGAGCCGACCUUGAAAUACCACCCUUUAAUGUUUGAUGUUCUAACGUUGACCCGUAAUCCGGGUUGCGGACAGUGUCUGGUGGGUAGUUUGACUGGGGCGGUCUCCUCCUAAAGAGUAACGGAGGAGCACGAAGGUUGGCUAAUCCUGGUCGGACAUCAGGAGGUUAGUGCAAUGGCAUAAGCCAGCUUGACUGCGAGCGUGACGGCGCGAGCAGGUGCGAAAGCAGGUCAUAGUGAUCCGGUGGUUCUGAAUGGAAGGGCCAUCGCUCAACGGAUAAAAGGUACUCCGGGGAUAACAGGCUGAUACCGCCCAAGAGUUCAUAUCGACGGCGGUGUUUGGCACCUCGAUGUCGGCUCAUCACAUCCUGGGGCUGAAGUAGGUCCCAAGGGUAUGGCUGUUCGCCAUUUAAAGUGGUACGCGAGCUGGGUUUAGAACGUCGUGAGACAGUUCGGUCCCUAUCUGCCGUGGGCGCUGGAGAACUGAGGGGGGCUGCUCCUAGUACGAGAGGACCGGAGUGGACGCAUCACUGGUGUUCGGGUUGUCAUGCCAAUGGCACUGCCCGGUAGCUAAAUGCGGAAGAGAUAAGUGCUGAAAGCAUCUAAGCACGAAACUU